UUUUGUAAAAAGUAAAAAAUAUAUUAAUUUAACACUUCCCAAACAGCCCCAUAAUAUAAUGAUGUACUAAGAAGUACGGAUAUAGGCACGUGGGGAAUGUUGGGGUGAACAAAAAAAAGUAUAUUUUUAGAUUUCAUUCAAAAUUUUUGAGAUUUACAAAGUGAACCCAGUGAAAUAAAAAAAACAUAAAAACAAAUUUUUGGGUUUUGCAAAUUGACCCCAAUGGAAUAAAAGAAACACACAUAAAAUCAAACUUUUUGUGUCUUAUAAAUUGACUUGGGGAAACAAAAUAUCUCACGCCUAGAAACAUAUUCAAUUUAACCUAUUGUUGGUAUUUAUAAAUGUAUGUGUAGCCAAAUUUUCAUAUAUUGAUAUAUGAAGAAUCAUUUGCAUUUUGUUUUGAGCUUUUUGGAGUUUUUUAGUGUUGAAUUGUUUUAUUUUUUAUUUUUUUGGUUACAUAUAUCAUAAAAGAAAUGUUUGAUAACUUAAAUAAUGAAGUUAUCAUUUAGCGAUUUUCAAAAAUGAAAAUUGUCGAGGACUAAGUGUAAAUUUUACUUUAAAAAAAAGAAAGAAAAAGAGUAUUGAUGUCCUAAUUUUUGUUUUUACAUGUAAUUUGACAAGUUUAGUUACUUUUGUCGAUGUGAUUAGAAAUAUAUAAAAUUUGAAUGUAUUCUGUUGAAGUUUAUUUUGAAGGUUGUAAUUUAUCAAAAAAAAAGAAGAAAAAAGUUGAUUUUGAUGGUUGUAUAACUAAAAAUUUUACAUGAUGAUUGUAUAACUAAAGUUGAUUCUGUGCUUCCCCCUAUCCUUAUAUUGUGUUCAUUAUGUUCAUCUGUCAUAGGAUAUAGGAUGGGUAGUUUGUUUCUUAAAUUCCUCAAAUCAUGAAGAAUCAAUUAUUUUCUCCACAAAGGGUAGUAUCUUUACCUGCGAAUAUGGAUUUCAUGAUCUUCAACCAUCGUGGAAAAGCAUUUCCUUUACACCUUGAUAUGAAGUUGAAGUGAAACAAAAAAAUGACACUUGUCUAGUAGUUUUGGAAGUUAGAGGCGUUUUAACAGAUAAAUCUGAUUGAUAUUUUCCGUUAGUGAAGUUGCAUCACCCACAAGGAGCUAAAUACUGUACUUGUGGAUUCAAAUGGAUAUUAGACACAAUACGGAGAACGGGACCUUCGUGGUUGUUAUUUUGACUGAAACUAUCAGAAUUUUUUAUGAAUUUCAAUUUUUUUUUGUGAAGGUCACAACCGGUCUGUCUAUGUUCGAAGCAAAAACAGAAGCACGGGAAGCUUGUAUUUGAUGUUUGGGAUAUUUGUUAUUUUCUACAUUUCUUUAAACUUAAAGGAGUCCUUUGAUUACUGGCUUUGCCCUGUUUCUCAAUAUUUAAGAGUUGAACCUCAGGCAGUAAAUAUCAUUGAUACCUUCUAAUGCCACUUA